rnacentral:rRNA from 1 species
AAGGAAUAUUGGACAAUGGGCGGAAGCCUGAUCCAGCCAUGCCGCGUGCAGGAAGACGGCGCUCAGCGUUGUAAACUGCUUUUGGGUGGGAACAAUAACCUCUACGAGUUAGGGGCUUGAGGGUACCAUCAGAAUAAGCACCGGCUAACUCCGUGCCAGCAGCCGCGGUAAUACGGAGGGUGCAAGCGUUAUCCGGAAUCACUGGGUUUAAAGGGUGCGUAGGCGGUUUGAUAAGUCAGUUGUGAAAUUCCCCGGCUUAACCGGUGGGACUGCGAUUGAUACUGUCAGACUUGAAUCAGGUUGAGGUAGGCGGAAUGUGGCAUGUAGCGGUGAAAUGCAUAGAUAUGCCAUAGAACACCGAUUGCGAAGGCAGCUUGCUGGACCUAGAUUGACGCUGAGGCACGAAAGCGUGGGGAGCAAAC